GCUGGUGUGGCUCAAUGGCAGAGCAAUCGCCUUGUAAGCGAUGGGUUACGGGUUCAACUCCUGUCACCAGCU
rnacentral:tRNA from 1 species